AUGGGCAUGGCGACAGCUUCCCUGUUGGGCCCACCCCUCGGCCAGCCCCUGCCUGGAGGGGUCAUCUCUGAGCUCCAAAGCCUUCUCAGAGCCUGCCCCCACGAUGUCUGUCCUCCACGAAGCUCCCCAGAUUUUCUCCGCAUCCAAACAGUACCCUGGAGUCCCUGUAGGACCUUUCCUCCUUGGAGCCUCGGCUUCCAAGGGACAGCGACAGGUCUCCUGCGACCCACACCAAGCAACAUGGGCCCACACCCGAAGUCCGACCAGCUGCCCCCCCCACCCCCCGCGAAGCGUGUAGGAGGGCAGUGUGCACACGGCCCUGCACAGACCUCCAGGGGCCCAUCUGCUGUUGCGGACGGAGGCCCAGACCUGGCUGACCAGGAGCCGGCCUUGGCCUAGCUUUUCUGAAAACCCAGGAGCAUGUGCUUGCCUUCCCCCAAGGCCGUGGUGCUACGGGGGUCCCGGGGGGCAGCGGAAGCACCGAGACUAAUGACUGCCAGAAGGAGCAGGCUCAGCGCCCAUGACCGGGACGCAUAGCCCUGCUGCACCUUAGCACCCUGGGAAGCAUUAAACACGAUGACCAACCCCAAGCAGGGUACCCCUCAAAAGGGGGCUGCAGGGGUUUUCUUCUGGGGGCAGGAAGAGGUCAGAUGUCAGCAUGGCCUCCCCGGCCCGCCCUGACCACGGCACUGGGAUCUCCGGAGGCAGCAGAGAGGGGACUUGACCCAAGUCAGUCUGCCUAAGGUGAGAGUGUUGGGGCCUUCUCUCCAUUGGGGCCUGGCAAGCCGGCCCAGGGGAGACACGGAGCACCUGAGGUGGCCCCUGGCCACCGCCAGCAACCCCUCUGGAAGCCAGCUCUGCAGCCUCACCCUUACUGGUUCAAGCUUCCCAGCCAGCCUGGAGACCCUUCAUCAGCAGCCUUGUCUCAGCCUCCACGGCAAGCCAGGCAGGCAUCCAGUCCGGUUCCGCGCUGCCCUGGCCCCCGCCCCCCCAUCAGGUUUCUGUAGUGGCCAGCACCCUGCAUCUAUCUCCCUUUCCUUGUUUCUCCCAGCUGCCCCACACCUACUGUCCACAGGUCCUAGGCCGUCAGAAUCCCUCCCCUCCCCUCCCUCCAACCCCCUGGCCUGGGAGGUUGACCGGGACAGGUAAGAAGGCCAGGCCAGAAAGCUCAGGCUUAAUUUGUGAAUGGCAUCCACAGGCCAGGGCCCUGCCCACCCCCCUUCCCACCCACCUCAGGCCAGCCCCUGCCUUGUUCACAAGCUCCUCCAGCCUCAGCCACUCUGGGUUUCCUGGUCUCCUUGGCCCCUGUUCCCAUGGGGUAUCCAAGGCAGCAGGUGGCACAAGGGUUGGAAGCCUGGGAAGCCUGGGAAGCCUGGCUGUCCCGUCUGCCAUGGGCUAAUGAGAGCACCGGGCUCCUGAGUGAGGCCCGGAGUACAGUUAGCACAGCUGGACAGACCCAGGUAAGACUCCCUUCCUCAGUGCUCCCUCCUCCCCUCCUCCCUUUCUCCCUGCAGAGCUGCUCCCUCCUCCCCUCCUCCCUCCAGAGCUGCUCCCUCCUCCCCUUGUUCCUCCAGACCUGCUCCCUCCUCCCCUCCUUCCUCCAGAGCUGGUCCCUCCUCCCCUUGUCCCUCCAGGGCUCCUUCCUCCACUCCUCCUUCUAGUGCUCCCUCUUUCCCUCUUUCCAUAGCUGCUCCAAGGCAGGAGGGUGAAAACCUGCUCCCAAGCCAGGGCUGAACUUUUGGCCCAAAGCCUCUCAGCAGAAUGCAGGGCCCCAAUGGAGGGCACGCAGGCAAGGGGCUCCUGGAGGGGGAGUGGCUCCUGAGGCCCUCAGUCCUUCUAAGAGUAGAGGGGGAUGUGGUGGGCAGAGCCCUGAGCCUGUGAGCUGGGGGUGGGGGGGAGGGACUUUGCAGCUG
ensembl:lncRNA